rnacentral:rRNA from 1 species
UGCCAGCCGCCGCGGUAAUACGUGUGGGGCAAGCGUUGUUCGGAAUUACUGGGCUUAAAGGGUUCGUAGGCGGCCACUUAAGUCAGGGGUGAAAUCCCACGGCCCAACCGUGGAACGGCCUCUGAUACUGAGUGGCUUGAGUGUGCUAGGGGUAAGCGGAACGUGUAGUGUAGCGGUGAAAUGCGUAGAUAUUACACGGAAGGCCGGAGGCGAAGGCGGCUUACUGGGGCACAACUGACGCUGAGGAACGAAAGCGUGGGGAGCAAACAGGAUUAGAUA